rnacentral:rRNA from 1 species
UACGUAGGGUGCGAGCGUUAAUCGGAAUUACUGGGCGUAAAGCGUGCGCAGGCGGUUCGGAAAGACAGAUGUGAAAUCCCAGGGCUUAACCUUGGAACUGCAUUUUUAACUGCCGGGCUAGAGUAUGUCAGAGGGGGGUAGAAUUCCACGUGUAGCAGUGAAAUGCGUAGAGAUGUGGAGGAAUACCGAUGGCGAAGGCAGCCCCCUGGGAUAAUACUGACGCUCAUGCACGAAAGCGUGGGGAGCAAACAGG